CAGAUUGAGCCAGUACGAGCCCAAUUCAUGAGAUUAUCAACCUUCGAGAUCACGUACUCCGCCGUCUUCGAUAUUCCGACGGGAGAGGUAGUCGAUGGAGGAGGCGGUGGAGCAUAAGGGGUGGGUGUGGUUGAUGAGAGAGAUGGGAGGGUUGUGUGAAGAGACGCUAUGCGUUGUGGUGAUGACAAUUGUGAGAAGCGUGAAGAUGUUCGAGUUAGAAAUGCCGCCAUGGUUGUUUGUUGCUUCGAGAGCACCGUUCUUUCUCCCUCGUUCUUCUUCUUCCUUCUGUUUG
rnacentral:lncRNA from 1 species